rnacentral:lncRNA from 1 species
AGCAGGGACGAGGAGCGGCUGGAGAAGGGUGUUUCUUUGACCCGUUUACAGGCUCGAAACGCCGGUCUCAGUGGCUAUUGAGUUACCCACCAAGUUACCCCGGUUAGAGCUGUUUGGGGUGGCUCACGUUAUUGCGGCAAACUUUGGAGAUGACGGCUGAGUCCUCCGGGCGAACAUGUCAAGCCGAUUGUAAAUGCUGUUAUUUCCACAUCCUUCAGGGACACCAGUCCCUACGAAGACCUUGGGCGAUUUUGAAGUGCGGGCACCUCGAUUCCCCGAAUCUGUAGUGUGGCUGGUAUCGGUGUUCCCCUGGUUUAACUAGCCUGUUUGGUAAGUAACUGAAUAUUUUUUACGGCGUGUUCAGAGCUUAUUUUCCAGUUUUUAUGAACAAACAUAUAAAUAUAUCUCUGCAUUCCUGCCUCCCUCAUAAAAGCGGGCAUCUGUGGAAAGCAGGUUUAGUUAUCGGAGGGGAACCAUUAAACGCCAGUUUAAGAGGCAGGCCGGGAGGACGGCUCGUGGAUGUUGAGACUGCUGGCCUUGGUGAUCUUGAACGCAUUAUAACGGAAAAUGGAUCUCCACUUAAGGCACAGAUCAUUCAUGGGGAUGUAUAACCGAAACCAGUCCUCUCCACCGCCUGGGGAUCUUCACUUUCGCAGUCUACGACUGCCUGUGACUCCAGAAAGACAAACUGCAGAUUGGCCAAGAUGGGGAAAUUGAGGCAGAGAAGCCAAGACAUGUGCUAAAGGUCAUGCAGGCUAUGAAUGGAGCUGGAAUGUGAACGCAGGCCAUAUGACCCCAGAGCCCAUGUUCUUGAACCCUUAGAAAGACAGCAGCAACACACCUGGUGCAGCAGCUGCUUAGUUGGAGUGGCUGACAAGAGAUCCUGGCAAAUGGGUGUUUCUUCCCAGAAAGGGAUUUUUCUCCAUGACUGCAGUUGAAUUGCAGAGUUGUAGAGACAUCCAGGUUCUUGUUAGUGUGGACGAACUAUCCAUGAAGAUCUUAAAUGCAGGAGUCUAUGAGAACACCAAUUAAUCAAUUGUCAAAUAUUUGAGUAUCUAUUG